AUUGGUUGCUACUUUGACUUAAGAUUUUUCUAUUUCUCGGCGCUGUUUAUCUAUGGCUUCGUUCUUAUUUCAGUUUCUAUUUCUUCAUCAGAAUCUAUCAGAUUCUAAAGGCGACUUUGAUUCGUUUGUGAUUCAAAUUCAAUCAAGUAUUUGAGAUUUUUGUUUAUAUCAUUCAAUAAAAGAAAUGGAGACCGUCACACACUCCUCGCCGUUCGAUUCUUUUCUCGACCGAAUGCGAAACCCUGCUUCUCUCGAUCUCGUUCGCUCCAUCAAGAGCUUCAUUGUAUCGUUUUCAUAUACUGCGUCAAACCCUGAAACCGAUGGGAAAAGAAUACAGGAGUUUUUCCAGACAAUGGAAGAUGCUAUAAGGGAUCAUCCUUUAUGGGCAUCCUCGUCCGAUGAUGAAACUGAUAAUGCCUUGGAGGGUCUAGAGAAAUAUGUGAUGACCAAAUUACAUUCGCGGACCUUUGCUUCCACUCCUGAGGAUGUCAAGAUUGAUGCAGAGAUCUCAGAGAAGAUAUCCUUAUUGCAAACCUUCUUGAGGCCUCAACAUUUGGACAUACCAUCUGCACUUCAAAAUGAAGCUGCAUGGCUGCUUGCAGAGAAAGAAUUAAAAAAGAUCAAUGCUUUCAAAGCCCCUCGCGAGAAGCUUCUUUGUAUCAUAAAUUGUUCUAGGGUUAUCAACAAUUUACUGCUCAAUGCUUCAAUUUCAGAAGAUCAUGUUCCAGGAGGAGCUGAUGAUUUUCUUCCCGUUCUUAUAUAUGUUACGAUCAAGGCCAAUCCUCCACAGUUACAUUCCAACCUCAAAUUCAUACAGUUAUACAGGAGGCAGUCGAAACUUGUCUCAGAAGCUGCUUACUAUCUCACAAAUCUUGUUUCAGCCAAGUCUUUCAUUGUAGACUUAAACGCCAAAUCACUUUCUAUUGAAGAAAGUGAAUUCAUGGAGAGUAUGGAAGCGGCAAGGUUGGUUAAUAGAGUGCCACAAGAAACCGUAACCACCAUCGAUAAGAGAUCAAUAUUCGGAAAACUGAUGGAUCCUGGUCCAUCAACACCGGUGCACGUGAAAACACAAACUAACGUUAAUGGUGGAUCAAACUAUCCUUACAUGGAAGCCGAAGCUGGUGAACUAACAGUCGGCGAUGUGGAGAGAUUGCUUAGUUUGUACAAGGAUGUAGUAACAAAAUAUACCAGUUUGUGCAACACUGUUAGACACCUUUCUGUUUCCAGAACACAAAGACAUGAUGGAUUGUUAAGAGAACCCAAUGGAACACACAAAGACACUUAUAGCAGGGAGACGGAAAAAAGGUCAUGAAAACAAAUAUAUGGACACGAUGAUGGCACCCAAGGCAUGCACAAUGAUAGUCUGAAGCUGAAUGGACAAAGUAAAAUAUAGGGAUGGGUCUUUUCCUUUUUCUCUUUGCCAUCUUUGACAUAAUUAGCUUGACUCGAACCGGGUUGAGAAAGCGAGUAAACUCACCAACGACACGGCACUGGUCACAAUACACAGAUCUAGACGAUCUAGUGACAUCUUCCUCGAUGACAUAAAGCGACACGACGAUCGGCGAAGGAUCGUUGGC